rnacentral:rRNA from 1 species
UACGUAGGUGGCAAGCGUUGUCCGGAUUUACUGGGCGUAAAGAGCGCGCAGGCGGUCGUGCAAGUCGAGUGUGAAAGCCCCCGGCUCAACUGGGGAGGGUCAUUCGAUACUGAUCGACUCGAAGGCAGGAGAGGGUAGUGGAAUUCCCGGUGUAGUGGUGAAAUGCGUAGAUAUCGGGAGGAACACCAGUGGCGAAGGCGACUACCUGGCCUGUUCUUGACGCUGAGGCGCGAAAGCUAGGGGAGCAAACGGG